GACGAACGCUGGCGGCGUGCUUAACACAUGCAAGUCGAACGGAAAGGCCCUGCUUUUGUGGGGUGCUCGAGUGGCGAACGGGUGUGUAACACGUGAGUCACCUGCCCUUCACUUUGGGAUAACUUCAGGAAACUGGGUCUUAUACCGGAUAGCAGCUCCUGCUGCAUGGUGGUGGUUGGAAAGUUUCGGCGGUUGGGUAUGGACUCGCGGCUUAUCAUCUUGUUGGUGGGGUAGUGGCUUACCAAGGCUUUGACGGGUAGCCGGCCUGAGAGGGUGACCGGCCAAAUGGGGACUGAGAUACGGACCAGACUGAAACGGGAGGCAGCAGGGGGGAAGAGUGCACAAUGGGCGGAAGCAAGAUGCAGCAACGCCGCGUGCGGGAUGACGGCCUUCGGGUUGUAAACCGCUUUCGCCUGUGACGAAGCGAGAGUGACGGUAAUGGGUAAAGAAGCACCGGCUAACUACGUG
rnacentral:rRNA from 1 species